GAGUUUGAUCAUGGCUCAGGAUGAACGCUAGCGGCAGGCCUAACACAUGCAAGUCGAGGGGCAGCAUAAAUAAAGCUUGCUUUAUUGGUGGCGACCGGCGCACGGGUGAGUAACGCGUAUGCAACCUACCCUGUACUGGGGGAUAACCCGGAGDAMAUUCGGACUAAUACCCCAUHAAUGUUAAUUGAUGGCAUCAUUGAUUGAUUAAAGGUUACGGUACAGGAUGGGCAUGCGUUCCAWUAGCUAGUUGGUAUGGUAACGGCAUACCAAGGCGACGAUGGAUAGGGGGCCUGAGAAGGUGAUCCCCCACACUGGUACUGAGACACGGAMCAGACUCCUAMRGGAGGCARCAGUGAGGAAYAUUGGUCAAUGGAGUGCAACUCCUGKAAVCCAGCCAUGCCGCUGUGCAUGUAAGUACVUGUCCUAUGUGWUUKUKUAACUCGCYUUU
rnacentral:rRNA from 1 species